rnacentral:rRNA from 1 species
GAAAGCGUGGGGAGCAAACAGGAUUAGAUACCCUGGUAGUCCACGCCGUAAACGAUGUCUACUUGGAGGUUGUGCCCUUGAGGCGUGGCUUCCGGAGCUAACGCGUUAAGUAGACCGCCUGGGGAGUACGGCCGCAAGGUUAAAACUCAAAUGAAUUGACGGGGGCCCGCACAAGCGGUGGAGCAUGUGGUUUAAUUCGAUGCAACGCGAAGAACCUUACCUGGUCUUGACAUCCACAGAACUUUCCAGAGAUGGAUUGGUGCCUUCGGGAACUGUGAGACAGGUGCUGCAUGGCUGUCGUCAGCUCGUGUUGUGAAAUGUUGGGUUAAGUCCCGCAACGAGCGCAAC